GUCCCGGAUGGCGCAGUGGUUACCGCACCUGGUUAGUAAGCAGGAGAACCCGGGUUCGAAUCCCGGUCCGGUACA